rnacentral:misc_RNA from 1 species
GAUGAAGAACGUAGCGAAAUGCGAUAAGUAGUGUGAAUUGCAGAAUUCCGUGAAUCAUCGAAUCUUUGAACGCACAUUGCGCCUUCUGGUAUUCCGGAAGGCAUGCCUGUUCGAGAGUCAUUAACAACCGUUUCGAUCCCUUUCUUUCAGAAAUUACAAAGAGGAAAAGGGUUUGGUUAUGGUGGAGGAGGGAAAGGGAGCGUUUAGCCUGUAAAAAAAGAGGCUGUGUUCCGCCUCCCCCCCAAAAUUGUACAGGCGGUCGUGUGCGCCCACGCAUCGAGGUGUUGUAAAAGCUGCCACGGCACUUUUCACCUGUGCAGUGCGAGAUUGGCCAGCCGGUUUAAAAACCCCUCCUAACAAUCAAAGGUUGACCUCGGAUCAGGUAGGGAUACCCGCUGAACUUAAGCAUAUCAAUAAGCGGAGGA